rnacentral:rRNA from 1 species
AUUGAACGCUGGCGGCAGGCUUAACACAUGCAAGUCGAGCGGAGACUUCGGUCUUAGCGGCGAACGGGUGAGUAAUACCUAGGAAUCUGCCUAUUAGUGGGGGAUAACGGCUCGAAAGGGUCGCUAAUACCGCAUACGUCCUACGGGAGAAAGUGGGGGAUCUUCGGACCUCACGCUAAUAGAUGAGCCUAGGCCGGAUUAGCUAGUUGGUAGGGUAAAGGCCUACCAAGGCGACGAUCCGUAGCUGGUCUGAGAGGAUGAUCAGCCACACUGGAACUGAGACACGGUCCAGACUCCUACGGGAGGCAGCAGUGGGGAAUAUUGGACAAUGGGCGCAAGCCUGAUCCAGCAAUGCCGCGUGUGUGAAGAAGGCCUGCGGGUUGUAAAGCACUUUCAGUGGGGAAGAACGGAUACGGGCCAAUACCCCGCAUCACUGACGUUACCCACAGAAGAAGCACCGGCUAACUCCGUGCCAGCAGCCGCGGUAAU